GCUUACGGCCAUACCAGCCUGGGUACGCCCGAUCUCGUCUGAUCUCGGAAGCGAAGCAGGGUCGGGCCUGGUUAGUACUUGGAUGGGAGACCGCCGGGAAUACCAGGUGCUGUAAGGA
rnacentral:rRNA from 1 species